UGAAUACGAGACGCUAAGGCGUUGAAGUAGUGUAUGUCAUACUUCCAAGAAAAGCUUGCACUGUCAUAGAUAAAAAACGCCUGUACCAUAACCGACACAGGUGGGUAGGUAGAGUAUACUAAGGGGCGCGAGAUAACUCUCUCUAAGGAACUCGGCAAAAUAACUCCGUAACUUCGGGAGAAGGAGUGCCUUAUUUAUAAGGCUGCAAUAACAAGAUCCAAGCAACUGUUUAUCAAAAACACAGGUCUCCGCUAAGUCGUAAGACGAUGUAUGGGGGCUGACGCCUGCCCAGUGCCAGAAGGUUAAAGAAGUUGGUUAGCAAUAGCGAAGCUGAUAACUGAAGCCCUGGUGAACGGCGGCCGUAACAAUAACGGUCCUAAGGUAGCGAAAUUCCUUGUCGGGUAAGUUCCGACCCGCACGAAAGGCGUAAUGAUUUGGAUACUGUCUCGGAGAGGGGCUCGGUGAAAUAGACUUGUCUGUGAAGAUGCGGACUACCUGCACCAGGACAGAAAGACCCUAUGAAGCUUUACUGUAACUUGAAAUUGAAAUUGGACUUUAUUCGCGCAGUAUAGGUGGGAGGCGUUGAUUGUAAUCUUGCGGGAUUAUUGGAGCCAUCAGUGAGAUACCACCCUUGUAAUGUUAGAUUUCUAACUUUGAAUCAUUAUCUGGUCAAAGAACAGUUUCAGGCGGGCAGUUUGACUGGGGCGGUCGCCUCCUAAACGGUAACGGAGGCGUACAAAGGUUUCCUCUGAACGGUUAGAAAUCGUAUCUAGAGUGUAAAGGCAUAAGGAAGCUUGACUGUGAGACCUACAAGUCGAGCAGGGACGAAAGUCGGUCUUAGUGAUCUGACGGUACUGAGUGGAAAGGCCGUCACUCAACGGAUAAAAGUUACUCUAGGAUAACAGGCUGAUCUCCCCCAAGAGUUCACAUCGACGGGGAGGUUUGGCACCUCGAUGUCGGCUCAUCGCAUCCUGGGGCGGUAGUACGUCCCAAGGGUUGGGCUGUUCGCCCAUGAAAGCGGUACGCGAGCUGGGUUCAGAACGUCGUGAGACAGUUCGGUCCAUAUCCGGUGUAGGCGUUAGAAUAUUGAGAGGAGCCUUCUUUAGUACGAGAGGACCGAGAAGGACAUACCUCUGGUGUACCAGUUAUCGUGCCAACGGUAAACGCUGGGUAGCUAUGUAUGGAGUGGAUAACCGCUGAAAGCAUCUAAGUGGGAAGCCCACCUCAAGAUAAG
rnacentral:rRNA from 1 species